rnacentral:lncRNA from 1 species
CGCGCCAUUGCACUCCAGCCUGGGCAACAAGAGCGAAAGUCUGUCUCAAAAAAAAAAAAAAAAGUUAAGUAUCGGUUCCUCAUGCACCAACCUCAUUUCAAGUGCCCAGUACCUACGUAUCACUAGUCUCAGAUACUAAAGUUAUAAAAUGUUACCAUCAUGCAGAAGUUCUAUUAGACAGCACUAUUCUGGAGUCUUCUAAUUGCCUCACAAACCAUGGUCUCAUCUCCCUACAAGACACAGGGCCUCUUAAGAAUGGGGAUUUGCUGCUGUCUUUCUCCACCUUCCUUCAGAGGCAGGCCACACAAAGGCCUGGGCGGCCUGAGAUGCAUAACAAAUUCACUCAAUAAGCCCAUGGGUUCCAUACACAAACUAAAAUUUGCAAAGCAGCUCUGUGUAACCACAGACAUUCACAGUAACUGUCAUGCUGCAAGGAGUGGUUCUCUUUCUUCCUCUGUGGGGGCCUCAAAGUAACCCUCCAGUUCAACCCCAUGACUCCCAUCCCAGCCACUCCCAGCUGGCUCCCCGAAGACAAGCUGCCAUCAAUCCCUUCCUCACCCCGCCAGCCCAUUUUACGUAGGGGCAAACCAAGGCCCACCACAGACUUCAGCCUGACCCUAUUUUGUGUUGGAGGCUACUGUGGAAAAAACCAGAACCCUGGGAGCAGGAGGAAGUGUGGGGGUGAGGCUUUCACCUUAUAAGCUGGGUGCAGGGGGCCCACACACAACUUAACCUUUCAGUGACCCAGGACAGGACCUCUAAAAGAAUCAGGCCUGGGAGACCUUGCCCUGCCCCCAGAAGCACCAAGAGGCACAGGAAUCUGCUGCCAGCCCAAGGGUCAGAGCCCGACAGCACACACAGCAUGAGUGGGCAGGCGCAGGGGCACCUGGCACAAAGCUGCGCACGCACAUGGGAAUACCUUGCCACCUGAGCCCCGAGCCCGCCUCAGGGCCAACUCCUGCUACAGACAGCGCCUGGGAGAACAGUGGGAGCUGCUGCCGCUUCAAGCCUGGGAAACUGGAAGGAAGAUGGGAAAUACCUGCCUGCCGUCCCCUUCACGACCCCACCCCAGUUCACCGAAUGAGCAAAUCAGGUUGCCAAGACACUGGAAAAUGCUGGAAAACAGGGAGCAGAGGAAGCAAGGCCCAGACCCCCCACCACCAGCAGCCUCCUUUCCAUCCCAACCCCCACCUGCCUCCCCAGGGAAUGGCUAAGAGCCAAGGCCCCACUUCCCACCUGGGAAAAACCCAUAGCUGAGAUCCGACCAGAUUUCCCAGCUCAGUUCAGAGCAAGUACUCUCUGCGCAGGCAGGUGGGCUGGAGGCACCUUACACAUGCCACCGCCCCAUCCCCCCACAGCAGUGCAUGGCCUGGACUGCGUACACUGGAGCAUGCAGGAGCAGAGCAGAGUGGAACGUGGCCUGGGCUAGAAGCUCUGGAGGCCCCAGGCCACCAGGGAGACUGGGACUAGGUGGGGCCCAGGGAGGACCUUCACACCCCCAGCCCUGCCUGUCGGGCCUCAGGCCUUUGGUGAUCUGCCCGGGGCCUAUGAGGACAAAAGCAUGAAGAAUCAGGAGCCGCCAUUCCCACCCUCCACCACCUGGGCCCCCACUCCUCAGCUUUGCCGCUGCUUCCUCUGACUCCCCUCCCGGCCUGGAGCAGCGAACCCUGAGCCCCUACAUUCCUGCCCCAGGAAAGCCUCAUGUCCCUCUGGAGACUGACUGGCCAGGCCAGCUGCCAUUUUUGAUGCCAGACUAGACUGGGCAGACGGGUGAGGCUUGGGGACUCUGGGCUGUAUAAAAGUUAAUAAAUAAUAAUAAUAAAACCCUCAAGUCAACCUUGAAGAGAAACAAGGUCAGGAGGAAACAGGGCCCCAGGGACUGGGACAGAGGCAGUCCCUAGGUUUUCAGACAAGACCAUGGCUAGCUCCAGAAGCCCCUGUGGUGGUGGGA